rnacentral:rRNA from 1 species
UACUAGAGUAGCACUCGCAUAUCAAUAAGCGGAGGAAAAGAAACUAACAAGGAUUCCCUUAGUAACGGCGAGUGAAGCGGGAAGAGCUCAAAUUUGAAAUCUUCAAGGUUUUACCUUGACGAAUUGUAGUUUAAAGAAGUGUUUUCUGUUGGAGUUUUGGUAAAAGUUCUUUGGAAUAGGACAUCAUAGAGGGUGAGGAUCCCGUAUUUGACCAUUAUUUCCAGCUGUGUGAUACACUUUCAAAGAGUCGGAUUGUUUGGGAAUGCAGUCCAAAAUGGGUGGUAAAUUUCAUCUAAAGCUAAAUAUUGGCGAGAGACCAAUAGCGAACAAGUACCGUGAGGGAAAGAUGAAAAGAACUUUGAAAAGAGAGUUAAACAGUACGUGAAAUUGUCAAAAGGGAAGCGUUUGACACCAGUGUUGUUUAGUUGAAAAUCAAUUCAAUAAUUUUUGAUUUUGAAGUAGUAUUGACUUCAUCAGCUUGCUGCUUUCUUUUCCGAAAUUAUUGAAUGCACUUUUCAGUUAACAAGUCAACAUCAAUUUCUUUUGUUGUAAAAGGGUAAGAGGAAGGUGGCUUACGCUUCGGCGUAAGUGUUUAUAGCCUUUUACCUCUGCAAUCGGAGAGAUUGAGGACAGCAGCGUAGACUCCUUCGGGGGUUAGAUACACUUGUGCUAAGCUAUAGCCUUGUAUAGACAACUUGUUGACUAUGCUUCAGUCAUGUAGCUUACUCGCUAUGUGCUAUUUUACCUACGCUUAGGAUGUUGAAGAUAUGCGCGACACG